UACGUAGGGGGCUAGCGUUAUCCGGAUUUACUGGGCGUAAAGGGUGCGUAGGCGGUCUUUUAAGUCAGGAGUGAAAGGCUACGGCUCAACCGUAGUAAGCUCUUGAAACUGGAGGACUUGAGUGCAGGAGAGGAGAGUGGAAUUCCUAGUGUAGCGGUGAAAUGCGUAGAUAUUAGGAGGAACACCAGUAGCGAAGGCGGCUCUCUGGACUGUAACUGACGCUGAGGCACGAAAGCGUGGGGAGCAAACAGGAUUAGAUACCCUGGUAGUCCACGCCGUAAACGAUGAGUACUAGCUGUCGGAGGUUACCCCCUUCGGUGGCGCAGCUAACGCAUUAAGUACUCCGCCUGGGGAGUACGCUCGCAAGAGUGAA
rnacentral:rRNA from 1 species